ensembl:lncRNA
CAGCACAUCUCUGGAUCUUUGCAAAAACGCUCCCAGAGAAUCACCGCUGUCCUCCUGGCUCCCCUGGGAGCCAAAGCACAGGGAAGUCAGUCUGGUCAAGGUCACACGUCAGGGGACCUUGGGAAGCGGCAGAGCUAGCAUUCCAGCAGGGCCAGCUUUCUGAAGAAGAGAGCCAGCUUCAGGCUCUGCCUCCUGAGAUCCUCGCCCAGGGGCAGGGAAAGCAUCAGGCUUCCGGGAACAACUCUGCUUACACACCUUCCAGGGCUCCCCAGUGCCCUCCAGAUAAAGACCUAAUUCAAGGCUGUCACAGCCCUGUGAUGUGGCCUCUGCCCACUCCCAGAGCCCACCUCCCGCCACGGCCCUGGAUUUCUGAGUCCCAGCCAGGCAACGCUGGCCUGCUCUCAGGACCCCUUGAGAGCCCAGCACAGCCGGUCUUGUCACCUCCUGUCCCCUGAAGUCACAUCUGCCUGCAGCCGGGCCUCAGCUCAAAUGCUACCUCCUCUCGGCCUCCCCCACGGUCAGAUCCUCCUGUGCUCUCCCUGCGCGGCCCAAAGCUCACUUGUGAUCAGGAGGAGGAGAAGGAAAGAAAACGAAGGAAGAAGAAAGACAAAAGGGACUCCUGGGGCCUUCAGGAGGAGAAGAGCUGAGAAGCACUGGAGAUAAGUUGGCUCCGGCUCUUGGACCUUCGUCGUGUCUUGGAUCAGCUUUCCAUGUGGCGUUGGAGCCUGUCUGCACCUCUGGCUGGUGUCAGCGUAAAGAGCCCUGACUGAGACGUGGAAUGUGGCCGUCGCCUUCUGCUAUUUCCACCAGAAACCCACCGCAGAGCAUCAAUAGGAAACUACUGCAGAGUUUGGUACCCGGAACUGGAGAGCAGGACUGUGCCUAGCUUGUCCCCGAAGCGUCGGGAGGUGCAGUAUACCAGAAUCAGCAGCUUGAAAGAUACCGUGUUCACACAUUCUGCCGGAAUGUCACAUUUGAUAUGGCCACUGGACACGCUUGACUUCUUCUUUAUUUAUGAUUUCUGGCGCUUUUCCUUUGAGGCCGCUCAGAAUAGCUUCUGAUCCUGCUCGCUCACAGAAACGGUGAAAUCAAAUCUUCCUGUGCUCGCCCCAUCGGAGGCCAGUUUGCUUAUGUAAGCUACUCCCGCCCUCGCUGAGUAACUGGAUGGUGAGAGCAGAGCCCCGGACAGAUUUCAAAUGAGGCUCUCUUCACAUAAACGUCUUUGACUCGCGUACUAUUCUUCUGGUAAAUUGCUUUUGUUUCCAGAAACCUCGUCGCAAUCGAUACAAGUUGUGUGCGUGCUACGGGAGACCACAUUUGAGCCAUUGGCUGAUCACUAAUCUCUUUAUUCCCCUUUAAAUGUUUUUGGUCUUUCCCUCGGUAAUAUUCAAAUCAAUGUCCUGACUUAUUUAUUCUUUGGGAGUCUCAGUAUCUCCCUCAGCAUCUCAUCACUUCUGUUUGAUGAUAGAUUUUGUUGAACUUCUGUACCCUGGGCAAAGCAGCGGGCUCCAAGGACUGUCUGUUGUGUGUGGGUGUAAUGUGUGUACAUGUCAACAAAUUUGCACGAGUGUGAGUGUGUCUAUCCUAAUAAGAGCUGAAAGACCUCUGAGUUCGAAAUCAAACAGAUCUAAGUUGGAGGGACCGUUUUUCCAUGGUCUAGGCAGUAACCUUGGGCAAGUUGUCUCAUGGGGGCCUAGGAUUCACAGCUGGAAAAGAGAAAUGUAGGUCUAUACCCAAGAGAAAUGAAAACAUAUGUCCACAUUAAAACUGAAUGUCCACAUUUAACAGACUGUUCAUAGCAGCAUUUUUCAUAAUAGCAAAUGAAACCCAUAUCCCAUCAACUGGUGAAUGGAUAAAUAAAAUCCAUACAGUAGAAUAUGAUUUGGGGGCUUUGCUAGCAGCCCAAUGGUUAAGACUCCACACUUCCAAUGCAGAGGUCAUGGGUUCAAUGCCUGACUGGGGAACCAAGAUCUCACAUGCCACAUGGCGUGGCCAAAAAAAUAAAAGAAUAUAUGAUUUGAUCAUUAAAGAAAUGAAACACCGACACAUGCUACAACAUGGAUGACCCUAGAAAACAUGGUUCCACGUGAAAGAAGCCAGAUACUAAAGACCCUGGGUAUUCAUUUGCUGCUGCUGCUGCUGCUGCUGCUGCUGCUGCUGCUGCUGCUGCUGCUGCUGCUGCUGCUGCUGAGUCGCUUCAGUCAUGUCCGACUCUGUGCGACCCCGUAGACGGCCUCCUACCAGGCUCUGCCGUCCCUGGGAUUCUCCAGGCAAGAACACGGGAGUGGGUUGCCAUUUCCUUCUCCAAUGCAUGAAAGUGAAAGUGAAGUUGCUCAGUCAUGUCCAACUCUUUGUGACCCCUUGGGCUGUAGCCUACCAGGCUCCUCUGUCCAUGGGAUUUUCCAGGCAAGAGUACUGGAGUGGGGUGCCACUGCCUUCUCCGAUUCAUUUGCUAGGGCUGCUCUAACAAAAUAGCACAGGAUGGGUGGCUUAAAC